UACGGGGGGGGCAAGCGUUGUUCGGAAUUACUUGGCGUAAAGGGCUCGUAGGCGGCCAACUAAGUCAGACGUGAAAUCCCUCGGCUUAACCGGGGAACUGCGUCUGAUACUGGAUGGCUUGAAUCCGGGAGAGGGAUGCGGAAUUCCUGGUGUAGCGGUGAAAUGCGCAGAUAUCAGGAGGAACACCGAUUGCGAAGGCAGCUCGCUGGGACGUCACUGACGCUGAGACGCGAAAGCGUGGGGAGCAAACAGG
rnacentral:rRNA from 1 species